rnacentral:rRNA from 1 species
UACAGGGGGGGCAAGCGUUGUUCGGAAUUACUGGGCGUAAAGGGCUCGUAGGCGGCCAACUAAGUCGGAUGUGAAAUCCCCAGGCUCAACCUGGGAACUGCAUCCGAUACUGGAUGGCUUGAAUUCGGGAGAGGGAUGCAGAAUUCCAGGUGUAGCGGUGAAAUGCGUAGAUAUCAGGAGGAACACCGGUGGCGAAGGCGGGUCUCUGGGCCGAUACUGACGCUGAGGAGCGAAAGCGUGGGGAGCGAACAGG